rnacentral:rRNA from 1 species
GUAGUGACGAAAAAUAACGAUACGGGACUCAUCCGAGGCCCCGUAAUCGGAAUGAGUACACUUUAAAUCCUUUCACGAUUAACAAUUGGAGGGCAAGCCUGGUGCCAGCAGCCGCGGUAACUCCAGCUCCAAUAGCGUAUAUUAAAGUUGUUGCGGUUAAAAAGCUCGUAGUUGAAUCUGUGUCCCACACUGUCGGUUCACCGCUCGCGGUGUCCAACUGGCAUGUCUGUGGGACGUCCUGCCGGUGGGCGCAGCCCCUCAAAAGGCGGCCCAACUCAAAAUCCUACCACGGUGCUCUUCACCGAGUGUCGAGGUGGGCCGGUACGUUUACUUUGAACAAAUUAGAGUGCUUAAAGCAGGCUCAUUCGCCUGAAUAUUCUGUGCAUGGAAUAAUGGAAUAGGACCUCGGUUCUAUUUUGUUGGUUUUCGGAACUCCGAGGUAAUGAUUAAUAGGGACAACUGGGGGCAUUCGUAUUGCGACGUUAGAGGUGAAAUUCUUGGAUCGUCGCAAGACGGACAGAAGCGAAAGAAAUGUGUUUUCAUCAAUCAAGAACGAAAGUUAGAGGUUCGAAGGCGAUCAGAUACCGCCCUAGUUCUAACCAUAAACGAUGCCAGCUAGCGAUCCGCCGAAGUUCCUCCGAUGACUCGGC